AUGAUCUUUAUGCAAAUUCUAGAGCUCCAAGAGGUCCCUAGUUUCUUGAUGAUCUGCAAAAGGCACUCACCUGCCAUGCACAGGACAUGCACGGAUCAUGCACACCUAGCCAUAGCUCAGGUCUGGCUUUGGGUGAGCCUGGCCCAAGGCUGGAAGCAACAGGAGAGGGCCUGGCAGAGCAGAGGGGACCUUUUUUUCCCUGCUCGCUGCCCUGCAGGCUGCUCAGCAUUUUCCUAACCUCCCCACUGCUCCUGGGGGGGCUUCACAAUCGAACAUUGUCAGCCCAGAGCUGACACCCAAGCCGACCACAGCCCUAAAGCAUGCUGAGUGCCUCUUGGACCUGAAUUCCCAUAGUCUGUACCGAAAGCCACGCCCCAAGGCUGCAGUUUACCUCAAUCUCAGUUUGCCUUUGAAAUCUGUUCACAGGCUAUCUCUGAAAAAGUCCUUUGGGUUUGGAAAACGGGACUUUGAAAACAAUUCCGUUUUUAUUGUAGAUUCAGGGGGCACGUGUGCAGGUUUGCUACCAGGGUAUAUCGGGUGGUGCUGA